GCCUCCCUCCGCCGCCAUCAGACUCCUACGGGAGGAAGCAGUGGGGAAUUUUGGGACUAAUGGGGGCAACCCGUGAUCCAGCCAUGCCGCGUGAGUGAAGAAGGCUCGGGUUGUAAAGCUCUUUCAGCGGGACAAAACGGGCACCUGCGAAUAACGGGUGUUAAUGAUGGUACCCGAAGAAGAAGCACCGGCUAACUACGUGCCAGCCGCCGCGGUAAUAC
rnacentral:rRNA from 1 species